rnacentral:rRNA from 1 species
AUUGAACGCUGGCGGCAGGCCUAACACAUGCAAGUCGAACGGUAACAGAAAGCAGCUUGCUGCUUUGCUGACGAGUGGCGGACGGGUGAGUAAUGUCUGGGAAACUGCCUGAUGGAGGGGGAUAACUACUGGAAACGGUAGCUAAUACCGCAUAACGUCGCAAGACCAAAGAGGGGGACCUUCGGGCCUCUUGCCAUCGGAUGUGCCCAGAUGGGAUUAGCUAGUAGGUGGGGUAACGGCUCACCUAGGCGACGAUCCCUAGCUGGUCUGAGAGGAUGACCAGCCACACUGGAACUGAGACACGGUCCAGACUCCUACGGGAGGCAGCAGUGGGGAAUAUUGCAUAAAGGGCGCAAGCCUGAUGCAGCCAUGCCGCGUGUAUGAAGAAGGCCUUCGGGUUGUAAAGUACUUUCAGCGGGGAGGAAGGGAGUAAAGUUAAUACCUUUGCUCAUUGACGUUACCCGCAGAAGAAGCACCGGCUAACUCCGUG